UACGUAGGGGGGCAAGCGUUGUCCGGAUUUAUUGGGCGUAAAGCGCGCGUAGGCGGUUACUUAAGUCGGAUGUGAAAGCCCUCGGCUUAACUGAGGAAGUGCACCCGAAACUGAGUAGCUAGAGUACGAAAGAGGGUCGCGGAAUUCCCGGUGUAGAGGUGAAAUUCGUAGAUAUCGGGAGGAACACCGGUGGCGAAGGCGGCGACCUGGGUCGAGACUGACGCUGAGGCGCGAAAGCGUGGGGAGCAAACAGG
rnacentral:rRNA from 1 species